rnacentral:rRNA from 1 species
GAUGAACGCUGGCGGCGUGCCUAAUACAUGCAAGUCGAGCGAACAGACGAGGAGCUUGCUCCUCUGACGUUAGCGGCGGACGGGUGAGUAACACGUGGAUAACCUACCUAUAAGACUGGGAUAACUUCGGGAAACCGGAGCUAAUACCGGAUAAUAUAUUGAACCGCAUGGUUCAAUAGUGAAAGACGGUUUUGCUGUCACUUAUAGAUGGAUCCGCGCCGCAUUAGCUAGUUGGUAAGGUAACGGCUUACCAAGGCGACGAUGCGUAGCCGACCUGAGAGGGGGAUCGGCCACACUGAAACUGGGACACGGUCCAGACCCCUAGGGGAGGAAGCAGUAGGGAAUCUUCCGCAAUGGGCGAAAGCCUGACGGAGAAACGCCGCGGGAGUGAUGAAGGUCUUCGGAUCGUAAAACUUUUUUAUUAGGGAAAAAAAAAUGUGUAAGUAACUAUGCACGUCUUGACGGUACCUAAUCAAAAAGCCACGGCUAACUACGU